UGUUUUGUCUUUACUCUUUACCAUUCUUUAUUUGUAAAUUUUUUUGUAUACAUAUAUACUAACUAGAGCUAGGAAACACAUCUUCGUACACAAAAAUUAAAAUAGAUUCAAUUUUAAGUUUUCUAGCCAUUGUGUUAAAGUAGCAAACGAUUAGCACGUACAAAUUUUCUUAAGUUAAUUCUAAUCCCUUGCAAAAAAAAAAA
rnacentral:lncRNA from 1 species